rnacentral:rRNA from 1 species
UACGGAGGGUGCGAGCGUUGUCCGGAAUCACUGGGCGUAAAGGGCGCGUAGGCGGCGCGGGAAGUCGGCGGUGAAAGCCCGGGGCUCAACCCCGGGUCGGCCGUCGAGACUCCCGGGCUCGAGCACACUAGAGGCGGGUGGAAUUCCGGGUGUAGCGGUGGAAUGCGUAGAGAUCCGGAAGAACACCGGUGGCGAAGGCGGCCCGCUGGGGUGUGGCUGACGCUGAGGCGCGACAGCGUGGGGAGCGAACAGG